AGAGUUUGAUCCUGGCUCAGGAUGAACGCUAGCUACAGGCUUAACACAUGCAAGUCGAGGGGCAGCAUGGGAGUUGCUUGCAAUUCCUGAUGGCGACCGGCGCACGGGUGAGUAACGCGUAUCCAACCUUCCCCUGACUCCGGAAUAGCCCGGUGAAAACCGGAUUAAUGCCGGAUGCGGUCCGGAGAGGACAUCUGACCUGGACCAAAGGCUUGCCGGUCAGGGAUGGGGAUGCGUCUGAUUAGGUUGUUGGCGGGGUAACGGCCCACCAAGCCGUCGAUCAGUAGGGGUUCUGAGAGGAAGGUCCCCCACAUUGGAACUGAGACACGGUCCAAACUCCUACGGGAGGCAGCAGUGAGGAAUAUUGGUCAAUGGGCGAGAGCCUGAACCAGCCAAGUAGCGUGGAGGAUGACGGCCCUACGGGUUGUAAACUCCUUUUAUCAGGGGAUAAAGUCCGCUACGUGUAGCGGUUUGCAGGUACCUGAUGAAUAAGGACCGGCUAAUUCCGUGCCAGCAGCCGCGGUAAUACGGAAGGUCCGGGCGUUAUCCGGAUUUACUGGGUGUAAAGGGAGCGCAGACGGCCACACAAGUCUGAAGUGAAACUCCACGGCUUAACCGUGGAACUGCUUUGGAAACUGUGCGGCUAGAGUGCUGGAGAGGUAAGCGGAAUUCCCAGUGUAGCGGUGAAAUGCGUAGAUAUUGGGAAGAACACCGGUGGCGAAGGCGGCUUACUGGACAGUAACUGACGUUCAUGCUCGAAGGCGUGGGGAGCAAACAGGAUUAGAUACCCUGGUAGUCCACGCGGUAAACGAUGAAUACUAGGUGUUGGCAUCCAAAGGAUGUCGGUGCCGUCGCAAACGCAUUAAGUAUUCCACCUGGGGAGUACGUUCGCAAGAAUGAAACUCAAAGGAAUUGACGGGGACCCGCACAAGCAGUGGAGCAUGUGGUUUAAUUCGAAGCAACGCGAAGAACCUUACCAAGUCUUGACAUCCCUCUGACCGGCGAGUAACGUCGCCUUUCCUUCGGGACAGGGGAGACAGGUGGUGCAUGGUUGUCGUCAGCUCGUGUCGUGAGAUGUUGGGUUAAGUCCCGCAACGAGCGCAACCCUUAUGGCCAGUAGCCAGCAUGUUAUGAUGGGCACUCUGGCAAGACUGCCCGGGAUAACCGGGAGGAAGGUGGGGAUGACGUCAAAUCAUCAUGCCCCUUAUGAUUUGGGCAACACACGUGCUACAAUGGCGUAACAGAGAGAAGCGAUCCCGCGAGGGGGAGCAAAUCUUCAAAUAACGUCUCAGUUCGGACUGCAGUCUGCAACUCGACUGCACGAAGCUGGAAUUGCUAGUAAUUGCGAAUCAGCAUGUCGCGGUGAAUACGUUCCCGGGUCUUGUACACACCGCCCGUCACACCAUGGGAGUCAGCAACGCCCGAAGUCAGUGACCCAACCUUUCAGGAGGGAGCUGCCGAAGGCGGGGCGGAUAACUGGGGUGAAGUCGUAACAAGGUAACCGUA
rnacentral:rRNA from 1 species